rnacentral:rRNA from 1 species
UACAGAGGGUGCGAGCGUUAAUCGGAAUUACUGGGCGUAAAGCGCACGUAGGCGGCUUGGUAUGUCGGGUGUGAAAUCCCCGGGCUUAACCUGGGAACUGCACUUGAAACUACGAUGCUGGAGUAUGGCAGAGGGAGGUGGAAUUCCACGUGUAGCGGUGAAAUGCGUAGAGAUGUGGAGGAACACCGAUGGCGAAGGCAGCCUCCUGGGCCAAUACUGACGCUCAUGCACGAAAGCGUGGGGAGCAAACAGG